UUUGCAGCAGUGCCUCAUCCCUUGGCGGUUCUGGAGUUCACUUUUGGGAACUUCUAGGUGUAGGAGCAUUGUAGGUCUGUACAAAACCUCUGGAGCUGUGCUUUCUGUGCAGUUUGGGCAGCCUCCAGCCCUCCUCCAGGUGAUGUGGUUCAAUCUGUUAGAAUCAAAUGCCUCUUUCAUCGUUGUGCUCUUAGUAAUCCUCUGGUGCAGGAACGUUUGAACAUUAAAUGGUGAUCUAUGCUCUCAUGCUUCCAUCACACAAAUAACAAAAUCUGUUGAAAUACCUGGAAGUUGGCCAAAAUUGCUUUGCAGUAGCCUUGUAAUGGAAAGGAAAAAAAGAAAUAUUUUCUGAGGAGUUUACAUUUCCUACGAAGAAGGCUGGCACCCCAGCUGCAGGGAGGUUUUUGUUUGUUUAAGGAAUUUGAAUAUGUUGGGGUGAGCUGAAGCACAGCGAGAGGAGGCAGACUCACUUCUGACCUGGACUUAAAUUCAAAUAGGCUCAAGUUAGGACAACCAUUUCACAAGUCUGUCUUGUGCAUCUGACCCCAGCAAUCAUCCACUCAGAUGCAUGAAGUAGAGAACUUAAAGUAAAACCUUUAAAAAUGCACCUUGUGUCAGAAUGGAGUCCUCAGCUCCGAGCGUGUUUCCCCGCAGC